ACGGACAAUAAUCAAUCAAUAGAUUCAGUAGUUAUUAUAGAUACAAUCAGUAGAGUCUGAAGUCAGUAGAAGUCGAAUUAGGUAAGGGCAGGUGUCAGUAGGUGUCAGUAGGUGACGGUAGGUGACAAUAGGUGACGGUAGGUGACGGUAGGUGUCAGUAGGUGUCAGUAGGUGUCAGUAGAUGACAGUGGGUGACAGUAGGUGUCAGUAGGUGACGGUAGGUGUCAGUAGGUGUGCGUACAUGUCAAUAGGUGUCAGUAGGUGUCAAUAGGUGU